rnacentral:tRNA from 1 species
AUUUAAAUAGCUUAGGUUAGAGCAUAGUAUUGAAGAUACUAAGGGAAUAAAAAUAUUUUUAAAUA